rnacentral:rRNA from 1 species
GGAGGGUGCAAGCGUUAUCCGGAAUCAUUGGGCGUAAAGCGUUCGUAGGCGGUUUGUUAAGUUGGAUGUUAAAUUUUACAGCUCAACUGUGAACCUAUAUCCAAAACUGACAAACUAGAGUACUACAGAGGUAUGUGGAAUUCUGUGUGUAGGGGUAAAAUCCGUAGAUACACAGAGGAACACCAAAAGCGAAGGCAGCAUACUGGGUAGUUACUGACGCUCAGGAACGAAAGCAUGGGUAGCGAACGGGAUUAGAUACCCCGGUAGUCCAUGCCGUAAACGAUGGAUACUAGGUGUUGAGGGACUCGACCCCCCCCUCAGUGCCGACGCUAACGCAUUAAGUAUCCCGCCUGGGGAGUACGGUCGCAAGAUUA